rnacentral:lncRNA from 1 species
GUGCCUUUUUAUUCAGUGCUGAGGACUGGACCUAAGGUCUGUACAUGCUAGACAAGCACGCUCUCACUGUGCCCCACACCACACCAGCCUCUAAAUAGUGUCUUUUAUCAAACAGAUGUGUUAGAUGUUUUUUUCUGGUCAUUGGCUUCUGCAUCUAAGAAACCUAUCAUACUCCAAGCAUGACCAGUCUGCUUUCUUCCACCUGCUGCCUUGUCUCACCUCUUGCAGGCUGCUGCUUACCCCAUCUUCAGUUAAUGACUGUGUGGCUGUGAGUCACCCAGAGCAGUUCAAAAGGCUACCUUCCCCUUCCUGUUGAUGUUCUGCGGCUCCUCUCUCAAAGUCUGCCAGGCCCAUGAACUGGAGUCUAUUUCUGGACUCUGGUUUGUUGAUUUGUUUUGGUUGUUAUUUGUUUGGUUUUAUUGAGAUGUGUUGGGCCAUGGAUGACGCGAUACUCACUGGGUAUUCCAGAGUAGCGCUGGGGUUACAGCAGGUCUGCAUGAAGGCAGGGGAGGACACUGUGUCCUGCAGCUUGCUGGGGUCUCCACUGCCCACGCUGAAGGAGAGGCAUCUGCCUAACAUGAGCUCGUCGUCCCUCAAGGCCCAAUAGAGAUUCUUCCUCCAUAACUGAUUCUUGAUACAGCCACUCAAUUCCACUAGCAAACUAAUCGUUUGACCAUGUUUGGGGCCAUGUUUUAAACAUUCCUUUGGAUUUUUCUAUAUGCACAAUCAUGUCAUCUGU